GACUUCAGUCGUCUGCCGGCGGCUGGGUGAGUCAGAAACCAUUGCGAUAGGCGAAGGACAUGCGAAAGGUCCGGCGUAGAGGGUAAGACCCCCGUAGCUGAAAUCGUGAUGGCUUGCUUGUCUAUUUCCCAAGUAGCACGGGGCCCGAGAAAUCCCGUGUGAAUCUGGCGGGACCACCCGCUAAGCCUAAAUAUUCCCUGGUGACCGAUAGCGGAUAGUACCGUGAGGGAAUGGUGAAAAGUACCGCGGGAGCGGAGUGAAAUAGUACCUGAAACCGUGUGCCUACAAGCCGUGGGAGCGUCGGACAUCAGCUUGCUGGUGUCUCGUGACUGCGUGCCUUUUGAAGAAUGAGCCUGCGAGUUUGCGGUGUGUUGCGAGGUUAACCCGUGUGGGGAAGCCGUAGCGAAAGCGAGUCCGAAUAGGGCGUUAGAGUAGCGCGCUCAAGACCCGAAGCGGAGUGAUCUAGCCAUGGGCAGGUUGAAGCGGAGGUAAGACUUCGUGGAGGACCGAACCCACCAGGGUUGAAAACCUGGGGGAUGACCUGUGGUUAGGGGUGAAAGGCCAAUCAAACUCCGUGAUAGCUGGUUCUCCCCGAAAUGCAUUUAGGUGCAGCGUCGUGUGUUUCUUGCCGGAGGUAGAGCACUGGAUAGGCGAUGGGCCCUACCGGGUUACUGACCUUAGCCAAACUCCGAAUGCCGGUAAGUGAGAGCGCGGCAGUGAGACUGUGGGGGAUAAGCUCCAUGGUCGAGAGGGAAACAGCCCAGAGCAUCGACUAAGGCCCCUAAGCGUACGCUAAGUGGGAAAGGAUGUGGAGUCGCAGAGACAACCAGGAGGUUGGCUUAGAAGCAGCCAUCCUUGAAAGAGUGCGUAAUAGCUCACUGGUCAAGUGAUUCCGCGCCGACAAUGUAGCGGGGCUCAAGCGUACCGCCGAAGUCGUGUCAUUGCAGCAUGUGGUCCAACGACCGUUGUGAUGGGUAGGGGAGCGUCGUGUGCCGGGUGAAGCAGCCGUGUAAGCGAGUUGUGGAUGGUUCACGAGUGAGAAUGCAGGCAUGAGUAGCGAUACACACGUGGGAAACGUGUGCGCCGAUUGACUAAGGGUUCCUGGGUCAAGCUGAUCUGCCCAGGGUAAGUCGGGACCUAAGGCGAGGCCGACAGGCGUAGUCGAUGGACAACCGGUUGAUAUUCCGGUACCCGCUUUGAAGCGCCAACGUCGAACCAGGCGAUGCUAAGUCCGUGAAGCCGCCCUGAUCUCUUCGGAGUUGAGGGGAGUGGUGGAGCCGACGGUCCAGACCUGUAGUAGGUGAGUGAUGGGGUGACGCAGGAAGGUAGUCCAGCCCGGGCGGUGGUUGUCCCGGGGUAAGGGUGUAGCCCGAGGAGUAGGUAAAUCCGUUCCUCUUUAGGGGUGAGACCUGAUGCCGAGCCGAUUGUGGUGAAGUGGAUGAUCCUAUGCUGUCGAGAAAAGCCUCUAGCGAGUUUCAUGGCGGCCCGUACCCUAAACCGACUCAGGUGGUCAGGUAGAGAAUACCGAGGCGUUCGGGUGAACUAUGGUUAAGGAACUCGGCAAAAUGCCCCCGUAACUUCGGGAGAAGGGGGGCCAUUGCUGGUGAUGGGAUUUUCUCCUUGAGCUGGUGGUGGCCGCAGAGACCAGCGAGAAGCGACUGUUUACUAAAAACACAGGUCCGUGCGAAGCCGUAAGGCGAUGUAUACGGACUGACGCCUGCCCGGUGCUGGAACGUUAAGGGGACCGGUUAGUCACAUUUCGGUGUGGCGAAGCUGAGAACUUAAGCGCCAGUAAACGGCGGUGGUAACUAUAACCAUCCUAAGGUAGCGAAAUUCCUUGUCGGGUAAGUUCCGACCUGCACGAAUGGCGUAACGACUUCUCGACUGUCUCAACCAUAGGCCCGGUGAAAUUGCACUACGAG
rnacentral:rRNA from 1 species